rnacentral:rRNA from 1 species
AAACCAACAGGGAUUGCCCCAGUAACGGCGAGUGAAGCGGCAACAGCUCAAAUUUGAAAUCUGGCCCCAGGCCCGAGUUGUAAUUUGCAGAGGAUGCUUUUGGCGCGGUGCCUUCCGAGUUCCCUGGAACGGGACGCCAUAGAGGGUGAGAGCCCCGUACGGUUGGACACCAAGCCUUUGUAAAGCUCCUUCGACGAGUCGAGUAGUUUGGGAAUGCUGCUCUAAAUGGGAGGUACAUUUCUUCUAAAGCUAAAUAUUGGCCAGAGACCGAUAGCGCACAAGUAGAGUGAUCGAAAGAUGAAAAGCACUUUGAAAAGAGGGUUAAACAGCACGUGAAAUUGUUAAAAGGGAAGCGCUUGUGACCAGACUUGCGUCCGGUGAAUCACCCAGCUCUCGCGGCUGGGGCACUUCGCCGGCACAGGCCAGCAUCAGCUUGCCGUCGGGGACAAAAGCUUCAGGAACGUGGCUCCUCUCGGGGAGUGUUAUAGCCUGUUGCACAAUACCCUUCGGCGGGCUGAGGUACGCGCUCCGCAAGGAUGCUGGCGUA